AACCUUGCGCAGUGGCAAUAUCGUAACCAAUGAAGGCCUCCUGAGGUGCGAUUAUUGCUAGUUGAAACUCAUUUAAAUUUACGAGUUGACACCAGAAUAUUUUUUAUUCAUGCUUAGAGAAAUCAAAAUUUAUAACUACAAAAAUACUGUA
rnacentral:snRNA from 1 species